rnacentral:rRNA from 1 species
GUGGUGGUGCAUGGCCGUUCUUAGUUGGUGGAGUGAUUUGUCUGGUUAAUUCCGUUAACGAACGAGACCCCCGCCUGCUAAAUAGUCGCACCAAUGCCUAGCAUUGGUCGUGUGCUUCUUAGAGGGACUUUUGGUGACUAACCAAAGGAAGUUGGGGGCAAUAACAGGUCUGUGAUGCCCUUAGAUGUCCUGGGCCGCACGCGCGCUACACUGACACACGCAUCGAGUCUUCCUUGUCCGAAAGGUCUGGGUAAUCUUGUAAAUGUGUGUCGUGAUAGGGAUAGAUUAUUGCAAUUAUUAAUCUUGAACGAGGAAUUCCUAGUAAAUGCAAAUCAUCAGUUUGCGUUGAUUACGUCCCUGCCCUUUGUACACACCGCCCGUCGCACCUACCGAUUGGAUGAUUCGGUGAAACUCUCGGACCGUAGCUUGGACACCUUCGGGUGACCUCGCUGUGGGAAGUUAUUAAACCUCAUCAUCUAGAGAAGUAAGUCGACAUUUGU